rnacentral:rRNA from 1 species
GAUGAACGCUGGCGGCGUGCCUAAUACAUGCGAGUCGAGCGAACAGACGAGGAGCUUGCUCCUCUGACGUUAGCGGCGGACGGGUGAGUAACACGUGGAUAACCUACCUAUAAGACUGGGAUAACUUCGGGAAACCGGAGCUAAUACCGGAUAAUAUAUUGAACCGCAUGGUUCAAUAGUGAAAGACGGUUUUGCUGUCACUUAUAGAUGGAUCCGCGCCGCAUUAGCUAGUUGGUAAGGUAACGGCUUACCAAGGCAACGAUGCGUAGCCGACCUGAGAGGGUGAUCGGCCACACUGGAACUGAGACACGGUCCAGACUCCUACGGGAGGCAGCAGUAGGGAAUCUUCCGCAAUGGGCGAAAGCCUGACGGAGCAACGCCGCGUGAGUGAUGAAGGUCUUCGGAUCGUAAAACUCUGUUAUUAGGGAAGAACAAAUGUGUAAGUAACUAUGCACGUCUUGACGGUACCUAAUCAGAAAGCCACGGCUAGCUACGUG